UAGGGCCUAUAGCUCAGUCGGUUAGAGCAGCGGACUCAUAAUCCGUUGGUCCACAGUUCGAGUCUGUGGGCCACAA
rnacentral:tRNA from 1 species